AACAAGGCGUACCUGCGGACCUGCGGAAGGAUCAUUACCGAGUGUGAACCCCCCCGUAAAAAAGAGGGGUUACCUCCCGUCCUUUGCUGGGAACCCCUUUCCAACUUGGAAGGAGGUUGUUUUCAGACCCUUCUGCUUCGGUGGGGUAACACACCGGAACAACCUCAAAAAUAUUCUCAAUUCAAAACCGUUCAGUCCGAGAACUUUUUUGAAAAGCGAAAAAACUUUCAACAAUGGAUC
rnacentral:misc_RNA from 1 species